rnacentral:rRNA from 1 species
UACGAACAGGCCAAACGUUAUUCGGAAUCAUUGGGCUUAAAGAGUGCGUAGGCGGCGCCGUAAGUCGGGUGUGAAAUCCCUCGGCUCAACCGAGGAACUGCGCCCGAUACUGCGGCGCUCGAGGGAGACAGGGGUGAGCGGAACUGAUGGUGGAGCGGUGAAAUGCGUUGAUAUCAUCAGGAACACCGGUGGCGAAAGCGGCUCACUGGGUCUCUUCUGACGCUGAGGCACGAAAGCUAGGGUAGCGAACGGG